rnacentral:rRNA from 1 species
AGAGUUUGAUCCUGGCUCAGGAUGAACGCUGGCGGCGUGCUUAACACAUGCAAGUCGAACGGAGUUUUUAAGUGGAAGUUUCGGAUGGAAGUUUAAAAGCUUAGUGGCGGACGGGUGAGUAACGCGUGGGUAACCUGCCUCAUACAGGGGGAUAACAGUUAGAAAUGACUGCUAAGACCGCAUAAUAUAGCGAAACCGCAUGAUUUUGCUAUCAAAUAUUUAUAGGUAUGAGAUGGGCCCGCGUCUGAUUAGCUAGUUGGUGGGGUAAAAGCCUACCAAGGCGACGAUCAGUAGCCGGCUUGAGAGAGUGACCGGCCACAUUGGGACUGAGACACGGCCCAAACUCCUACGGGAGGCAGCAGUGGGGAAUAUUGGACAAUGGGGGAAACCCUGAUCCAGCCGACGCCGCGUGAGUGAAGAAGUAUUUCGGUAUGUAAAGCUCUAUCAGCAGGGAAGAUAAUGACAGUACCUGACUAAGAAGCCCCGGCUAACUACGUGCCAGCCGCCGC